rnacentral:rRNA from 1 species
GGGGAAUAUUGCACAAUAGGGGAAACCCUGAUGCAGCGACGCCGCGUGGAGGAAGAAGGUCUUCGGAUUGUAAACUCCUGUUGUUGAGGAAGAUAAUGACGGUACUCAACAAGGAAGUGACGGCUAACUACGUGCCAGCAGCCGCGGUAAAACGUAGGUCACAAGCGUUGUCCGGAAUUACUGGGUGUAAAGGGAGCGCAGGCGGGCGAUCAAGUUGGAAGUGAAAUCCAUGGGCUCAACCCAUGAACUGCUUUCAAAACUGGUCGUCUUGAGUAGUGCAGAGGUAGGCGGAAUUCCCGGUGUAGCGGUGGAAUGCGUAGAUAUCGGGAGGAACACCAGUGGCGAAGGCGGCCUACUGGGCACCAACUGACGCUGAGGCUCGAAAGUGUGGGUAGCAAACAGGAUUAGAUACCCUGGUAGUCCACACCGUAAACGAUGAUUACUAGGUGUUGGGAGAUUGACCCUCUCAGUGCCGCAGUUAACACAAUAAGUAAUCCACCUGGGGAGUACGACCGCAAGGUUGAAACUCAAAGGAAUUGACGGGGGCCCGCACAAGCAGUGGAGUAUGUGGUUUAAUUCGACGCAACGCGAAGAACCUUACCAAGUCUUGACAUCCCUUGACGAUGCUGGAAACAGUAUUUCUCUUCGGAGCAAGGAGACAGGUGGUGCAUGGUUGUCGUCAGCUCGUGUCGUGAGAUGUUGGGUUAAGUCCCGCAACGAGCGCAACCCUUAUGGUCAGUUACUACGCAAGAGGACUCUGGUCAGACUGCCGUUGACAAAACGGAGGAAGGUGGGGAUGACGUCAAAUCAUCAUGCCCUUUAUGACUUGGGCUACACACGUACUACAAUGGCGUUAAACAAAGAGAAGCAAGACCGCGAGGUGGAGCAAAACUCAGAAACAACGUCCCAGUUCGGACUGCAGGCUGCAACUCGCCUGCACGAAGUCGGAAUUGCUAGUAAUCGUGGAUCAGCAUGCCACGGUGAAUACGUUCCCG